rnacentral:rRNA from 1 species
CAGUCGCCACGGUAAUACGGAGGGUGCAAGCGUUAAUCGGAAUUACUGGGCGUAAAGCGUGCGUAGGCGGUUCGUCAAGUCUGUUGUGAAAGCCCCGGGCUCAACCUGGGAAUGGCAAUGGAUACUGGCGAGCUAGAGUGUGUCAGAGGAUGGUGGAAUUCCCGGUGUAGCGGUGAAAUGCGUAGAGAUCGGGAGGAACAUCAGUGGCGAAGGCGGCCAUCUGGGACAACACUGACGCUGAGGCACGAAAGCGUGGGGAGCAAACAGGAUUAGAUACCCCUGUAGUCCCUGUCUUUAUACA